CAACGAAUAUUCCGCAAUGGGCGAAAGCCUGACGGAGCGACGCCGCGUGCAGGACGAAGUCCCUCGGGAUGUAAACUGCUGUCAGGGGUUAGAAAGUAAGUGAUCAACCCCAAAGGAAGCAUCGGCUAACUCCGUGCCAGCAGCCGCGGUAAUACGGAGGAUGCGAGCGUUGUUCGGAAUCACUGGGCUUAAAGGGCGUGUAGGCGGGGUGUCAGGUGCUUUGUGAAAUCCCGCGGCUUAACCGCGGAAUGGCUUGGCAAACCGGCAUUCUUGAGGCAGGUAGGGGCGACUGGAACCUUUGGUGGAGAGGUGAAAUUCGUAGAUAUCAAAGGGAACGCCGAUGGCGAAAGCGAGUCGCUGGGCCUGUCCUGACGCUGAGGCGCGAAAGCGUAGGGAGCGAACG
rnacentral:rRNA from 1 species